rnacentral:lncRNA from 1 species
AAAGACACACCAAUCCAUCUUCUCCACAAAACUCUUGUUACCAUACUUUUCCACCCGUCCUGUUGCGGCACCUUUUCUCUUCAGAUCCACCACCACUCCCUGCCCCCGACCUUAUUAGUAAAGAGAGAGAUCAUUUUCAAAGGCCGCCAAGGGAAACCAGGCAGGCAGGCCCGCCGUAUUCCACGGUCGAAUCUGGAACGCCGACCCGGGCCAUGGAAUCACUUGGCACCCGGGGGCAUCGGUUCAAAAACCCCGCAACGUUUGCGCCAGCGGUGGCGGCACCCUGGGGCUCGGUGCGAAUCCGAGGGAGAGCGGAGAAAAAGGGAUUUUUCAGUCCAUUUCGUUGCUGUUGCUGAAUCGGAUAGUGAAGAACACAUCACGGUAGACGCGGUUGCCCAUAGGUGGCGCCCUUCUCGCCUAAAACCACAUCUCCUGUGUAUUUUAAUAACCCGCCCGCCAUGCUGUUUGAUUGGUGCGUUUGCCUGUCGCUCCCAAAGCCAAGGAAGCGACCUACUGUACUGUAGAGGGGAAGUGAUUCAAGAUGGCGGUGCCCUUGCAGCUCGUGAGGCGGCGUUUGCUGUUGUCGCGACCUCUGAACCCAAAUCUUUAAAGAUCGUAGUGACCAUUUUGCAGAAUAUGAAAGAAGAAAAGCAAAGGGAGAAUCUCAGUGACAGCUGUAAAUGAGAAUGCAAAAAGGGGAAGAUAUGAUCCAUAUAAGUUUGAAUACUCUCCAGUGAGAUAAUCAUGCUUAAAAUACACCACUGGCUGUUCAAUCUACUCUUUACUAAUCUUCAUUGAAAUAAAACAGUGAAAAAGUGGAAGUUGCUCA